CAUUUCUCUUAUCGAUCAGCUAAACUUCACUGGGUCAUCGUUUUGCUAAAAUAUUCUAGGAAGGAGCGGACACCUUGCACGCCUACUCCACUCUACUUAAAAACAAAAACGCAAAAAAUACUUGUGUUGAGUCCCCACGCCUCUGUGUGAAAUUACAGUGCCUAUUCCUUAAUUAAGGAGGGAAUUAAUGUUUCAAGAGGCUUUCUGGCUUUCACGAUCAGUACUGCAAUUCCAUUUCACAAAUAACAGCUUUCAUGAGUACCCAAAAAGAUUGGUCAUCAUGUCCUUCAACAGCAACAUGGAAAUAUGACGCUUUCCUCAGUUUCAGAGGCAAUUUUCUACAAAGUGGAUCCAUCUGAUAUACGGAUACAAAGGAACACAGUUCGAGCCUUUGUUAAACAUGAAAUCCGUUUUAAGCAGAAUCUAAAGGAGGUGCAAAGGUGGAAAGAUGCUUUGAAAGAAGUUGCCAAUAUCUCUGGAUGGCAUUUACAAAAUAGGAUUGUUGGACUUGUUCAUGAGGAGAAACUGUCACAUGGCCAAGAGAGAAGACAAGUGCAUGCACGUAUGCUUCUGAUUUUCACUCGAUCUAAUAGAUUGCAGGGACCUGGUUAGGGAGCUAUAAUCUCCUGAAGUGGCUGCUCAAAUUUCAACUGAUACACUGAUAUGGCCUCAUGUAACACAUGGACGAUAUUUGAUCAAAAUAGCCUACCAAUUGCUGCAUGCGUUGGAAGUAAGGGAUCAGGUAUUCAAAAGCCUAUGAUAUACAAGUGGUGGAUCAAAGUAACUGCUGGAGAGUGAGUACCAGCACUAGUGUAUCUAGUUGUGGAGGAGUUACUAACAGUUGAGGAGCACUAGCAGAGAGAUUGCAAAUGGAUUGGUUUUGUCCCUAUGCAGCAAAAUCAAGUUUUGGCAGGAAUAAUUAUUGUAGUCUGUUGUAGUUACUGCCAUUUGAAACUGAAUGGAAGCUCAAUCCCUGACCAUUCAAAGUGCAUUAACAAAGACUGAUUGAAGACCACUAGUGCAUGGAAGUUGGAAAACGCUAGUGGUUCAUAUAUGCUGUGCUUGGGGGAGUCACUGCAAAGGCAAUGGCCCUGCUACUCUCGCUUCAAAGUCUUAUGAACAUCUUUUGGGGCUUGUAACUUUACUACCAGCCAACUCUUACUGCAUUUUUGUACCAAAAAACCAAAGGCAGAAAAAAGGCUAUAUUUGCACCUUUUUUGGACUAAUUUAUGUCAAACGUCUGCAUGCAAUUUAUUAACAUUUUAAGAUAGGAAUUAAAAUUUCUCGUACUUGUUCAAAGUUUUGGUAUACUUUGAUUGUUGUUUUUAUUUUCUCCCACAAUGCAAAAUAUUAUAUUUUUUCUUGACA